GAAGCAGACUCGGCAGACCAGACCUGGGUUUAGGGUUUGAGAACUGAAUGAGAUAAGUGGACAAUUCUUCCUUAGUUGUUGAUUUUCUUGAAAUCUAAAGAAACAACCUAUAUGUGAGUCAAUUGUAGCUGAACAUGUUAUUACUCCAACCUCCGAAAAGUGACAAGCUGACACGUUUUUAUUUUCGGCAAAACAUUUUUGUUUAUAUAUAGGAGUGCCUUUGAGUUUGCACAUGCGCAGUUUGGAGCGAGACGACCGUUAGAACAGAUUACGUCUUUUUUUGCGCAUACAUUUAGCAAGCCAACGUCACCAGGACAUUGCCUACAAGCGUGAUCAGGAAUUUCUAUUGAAGAAGCAUUUCUACAUAUCUUCAUACUAAACCAUCUUUGGUUCAGCCUUCAUGUGGGAAAAAUUAAUGGUGAAAGAAUAGGGUUUUGGAAUUAACGCGAAAAUAAGGUCUGAGGUUAACACAUGUUUAGGAGAUCUUUUUGUUCUAUGAGAUAACAGCAGUCAGUUAACAUGAACUUUAUGAAUUAUGAAGUCUUUAUGUGAUUAUGUGUUUUUUAUUAUUACAUACAUUCUUCAAAAUUCACAAAAAGUUAAAGAUUAUCUCAUGGAACAAAAUGUAUAAGAUCUAAACCUGUUUACCACAUACCUUUUUUUCAGCAUUUAUCCAAAAACCGUACAAAAACGGCAUUAAUUUUCCUCAUAGGCUUUCUCCAACGAACCAUGCCGUAGUUAGUUCCUACGAAAAGACACCAUUACUAUUUGUCUAUAAGGUAUGUGGUAAACACAGGUUUGGGAGAUAAUCUUCAUCAGUCACUUUUUGUGUAUUUUGAAGAGUUGAAGAAUUUAUGUAAUUUAAAAAACACGUAAAGCACAUAAAGGCUUCAUAAUUCAUAAAGCUCUUGUUAACUGACUGCUAUUAUCUCAUAGAACAAAAUGUAUAAAAUCUCCUAAACUAGUGUUACCCUCAGACCUUAUUUUUGGGCGUUUAUACCAAAACCCCAUUCUUUUGCCAUGAAUCUUUCCCAUAGGGAUGGCUGAAUAUAUAGCUAAUUUCCAGGUUUUAGGGCUUCAAGCUGGCAAACUCUAUUGCAGCCGACAUUAAAGGCGAGUCGAGACUGACUGAUCUACAAAUCACCUGGCUUGCAUCCUAAAUAACUACUCAAUAUUAUUUGUAGAUCAGUCAGUCAGUCACAAUUUACCCAUGCUACAUCAUGGUCUUGAUGCUCUUGAACACGGCCACUGUCUGUGGAGUAUGCAGAUGGCACUCUAGACCUUUUGAAUAUUUUAUUUUAUCGGGAUAUGUCAUCAAAAUAAUAAAUAUAUUAUACUGUAACAGCAUGUGGAUAGCAGCUUCUGACAUGCUGUAAAAUUUCAUCAGCCACUGUAAAUAAUGUAUCUACAGUGUAAGUACCAUAAUCAGGAUUUGAAUAGAGUACCACAGUAUGUCAUAAUACUCAUAAAACCUAACGGUCAAACUUAGAAAUGGUUCCAAUUGAUUUUCAACCAUUAAUUUUCCCCAUGGGGGAUUUUAGAACAACUUCAAAUAAGGGCUGUGUUUCGUGUAGGCUUACCCUGAUGUGACGCUUUGAUAACUGUGUAAAUCUCUCUCAGACAAGGUGACUUUUAUCAGAGAGGAAGAGGAAGAGAGAGGCCCAACUCAGCGGAAAAUCUGUCUAAGCCAUUGGUUGUUUUUUCAUUGUUUUUGCCCACCAAGUAAGGAGUUUUUGUAUGGAAGUCAAUAACAGAGUGUCAAAUUAGUUCAACAACAAAAAUAAUGGUUAUUUGCUACGUGAGAUUUAUUUGAUCUAAUAAAAGUUUUGUAAUGCUUAAGUUGUUACGAGUGUACUGAUAUAAGUAGGACACGUGACAUCCCGGCAUCUUUGAGAUAAAAACACUUUCUAUUGGAGUUAUCUCAAGAUGGCUAUGCAUAUUCAUGUCAUGAGGCUGGUGGCAUAAUAUUUCUCACCAUUGAAUACUGGCGGCUGACGUCAACAAUCCUCAUCGAAUAUUUAAAAAAUAUUACAAUAAUAAGAUGUAUACACCAAUCCAAAGAAAGGAUAGGCGGGACCUAGACAGCCCGCCAUGAUGCUUUGUGGACAACGACUCCCAUUGUUAGGAUGGAGACACCUGUAUCUUGUCAGUAUAUCCAUAAUCUUUGAUUUUAUCAAUAUAUAAACCUGUAGUUAACUAACUAGCUAACUUAGAUGGUGAAGUUAGGUGUUCUGGAUAAUGUUUGUUUGUGAAUGUGUGUAAGGGAUGGGUAGCCUACUUCAAGUACUUAUUGACUUGUAGCUGCCUUAGCUAGCAGUAUUAUUUUGGUCUGGCUUUUUGUGAGGUUUCAGAGAUGGACUGAUUGAUAAUCAUUCUCUCUUGAGUCAACAGUGUGCUUACUUUACUACAGGAAUACAUUGAUCUGUUUGCUGUUACCCUCUGGACAGCAGAUCAUUAGUAUAGCUAGUAGGCAUGGUUAUGUAACCUUAUUUAGUCCUACCUGCUAUGGUGGGUUUUAAAUAAAUUGGUAUUCACACGUCUGUGUGUUUUUUGGUAAAAUUACUGUCAUGUUAUUGAUGCCAAAUUGCAAACCUUAUUUGAACCUUUUCUAUUCCAGAGCCAAUGUGUGUGCCUUAUCUUAUCACCUCUCAACCAGUAGAUGCAGACCCGAAGACAUUCAAGCAGCACUUUGAGAGCAAGCAUUCCAAGUCUCCAAUGGUCCCAGUACUGGUUGAUGUGUAGGUCUAAGUGACCACACACACUGAAAUGGACCUACAGCUGAGUUCCCCAACCAAUAGCUGUCCCUCAACCAUUCAAGACCCCUCCCAUAGUCCCCCCACCCCCAAAUAAAAAUAAAAAAUACAAUUAAUUCCAUUCCCCACCCCCAAGAACCUCUCAAUAUACCAACAACCAAGAGAAUGAACUAAAGAGACAAAGGAAAAAGACAGAAGAAAACAGCAAAUAACAAUGCAAAAAAUAUAUAAUUAAAACAAAAAACAAAAAAAUAUG